GAUGAACGCUGGCGGCGUGCCUAAUACAUGCAAGUAGAACGCUGAAGCUUGGUGCUUGCACCGAGCGGAUGAGUUGCGCACGGGUGAGUAACGCGUAGGUAACCUGCCUCUUAGCGGGGGAUAACUAUUGGAAACGAUAGCUAAUACCGCAUAAAAGUCGAUAUCGCAUGAUAUUGAUUUGAAAGGUGCAAAUGCAUCACUAAGAGAUGGACCUGCGUUGUAUUAGCUAGUUGGUGAGGUAACGGCUCACCAAGGCGACGAUACAUAGCCGACCUGAGAGGGUGAUCGGCCACACUGGGACUGAGACACGGCCCAGACUCCUACGGGAGGCAGCAGUAGGGAAUCUUCGGCAAUGGGGGCAACCCUGACCGAGCAACGCCGCGUGAGUGAAGAAGGUUUUCGGAUCGUAAAGCUCUGCUGUAAGAGAAGAACGAGUGUGAGAGUGGAAAGUUCACACUGUGACGGUAACUUACCAGAAAGGGACGGCUAACUACGUG
rnacentral:rRNA from 1 species